CAAGCGAUGGGGUGACGCAGGAAGGUAGCUGGGCCAGUCAGUGGUUGUACUGGUGUAAGAGUGUAGGCCGUGACAUAGGCAAAUCCGUGUCACAUUAAGGCUGAGACUUGAUGCAUACCCGUUGUGGGGAAUUCAGUGAUCCUAUGCUGCCGAGAAAAGCCUCUAGUGAGUUCAUACACGGCCCGUACCCCAAACCGACACAGGUGAUCAGGUAGAGAAUACCAAGGCGAUCGAGAGAACUGUGGUUAAGGAACUCGGCAAAAUGCCCCCGUAACUUCGGGAGAAGGGGGACCAUGCCCGGUGAACAUCUUCACGGUGGGAGCUGGGUGUGGUCGCAGAGACCAGAGAGAAGCGACUGUUUACUAAAAACACAGGUCCGUGCGAAGACGUAAGUCGAUGUAUACGGACUGACGCCUGCCCGGUGCUGGAAGGUUAAGAGGACCGGUUAGCCGUAAGGCGAAGCUGAGAAUUUAAGCCCCAGUAAACGGCGGUGGUAACUAUAACCAUCCUAAGGUAGCGAAAUUCCUUGUCGGGUAAGUUCCGACCUGCACGAAUGGCGUAACGACUUCUCUGCUGUCUCGACCACAGACUCGGCGAAAUUGCACUACGAGUAAAGAUGCUCGUUACGCGCGGCAGGACGAAAAGACCCCGGGACCUUUACUAUAGCUUGGUAUUGGCGUUCGAUUCGGUUUGUGUAGGAUAGGUGGGAGACUGUGAAGCAUGCACGCCAGUGUGUGUGGAGUCGUUGUUGAAAUACCACUCUGAUCGUAUUGGACGUCUAACCUCGGCCCAUGAUCUGGGUAGGGACAGUGCCUGGUGGGUAGUUUAACUGGGGCGGUUGCCUCCUAAAGAGUAACGGGGGCGCCCAAAGGUUCCCUCAGCCUGGAUGGCAAUCAGGUGUUGAGUGCAAGUGCACAAGGGAGCUUGACUGUGAGACUGACACGUCGAGCAGGGACGAAAGUCGGGACUAGUGAUCCGGCACCGGCAAGUGGAAGCGGUGUCGCUCAACGGAUAAAAGGUACCCCGGGGAUAACAGGCUGAUCUUCCCCAAGAGUCCAUAUCGACGGGAUGGUUUGGCACCUCGACGUCGGCUCGUCGCAUCCUGGGGCUGGAGUAGGUCCCAAGGGUUGGGCUGUUCGCCCAUUAAAGCGGCGCGCGAGCUGGGUUUAGAACGUCGUGAGACAGUUCGGUCUCUAUCCGCCGCGCGCGUAAGAAACUUGAGGAAGGCUGUCCCUAGUAUGAGAGGACCGGGACGGACGAACCUCUGGUGUGCCAGUUGUUCCACCAGGAGCAUGGCUGGUUAGCUACGUUCGGAAGGGAUAACCGCUGAAAGCAUCUAAGCGGGAAGCCUGUUCCAAGAUGAGGUUUCUCACCACCUUGCGUGGUUAAGGCCCCCUACAGACCAUGGGGUUGAUAGGCCGGAACUGGAAGCGCAGCAAUGCGUGGAGGUGACCGGUACUAAUAGGCCGAGGGCUUACACA
rnacentral:rRNA from 1 species